rnacentral:lncRNA from 1 species
GGAAGAGUGGGGAAGUGGGUGCCAUCAGAGAUCCUGGUCUUGGUGCUGAAAAACCUUUUUGCAAAGCUGGUACCGUGUGACUUGGUUGGCCUACACAGUACCUGUAGAAUACAUGCCUGUGGCUACCUCCUCCCUGGAGCAGCUGCAAGGAACUGGGAGCCACAGAUACGUCAGCACUACCUUGGGAAGAGGAAUUAGUUAGCUUCCUUUGUCCAGCACACCAGCAGAGUAGUGGGAGUUGUGGUGUCUGUGCAGCACUGGACAAGUGCCUCAACAUCCCUAAGUCUCUGUUUCUUCAUCUGGAAGAUGUUCCUGCAGGAAUAACUCAGGUGCCCUCAGCCACC